GGCGGAGUAGCUCAGUUGGUUUAGAGCAUGCGGUUCAUACCCGCAGGGUCGUCGGUUCGAGUCCGACCUCCGCUACCA
rnacentral:tRNA from 1 species